CUUCAGGGACCCCAGCCACAACGGCCGGUCCGCCGCCCGGUCCCGGCCGUAGGUCGCCAGCAGUGCCUGGGCCUC
rnacentral:antisense_RNA from 1 species